rnacentral:rRNA from 1 species
AUCCACGCCCUCAACGAUGCGCACUAGGUAUUGGCAGUAUCGACCCUGCCAGUGCAGUUUAAAAAGCUAACGCGUUAAGUGCGCCGCCUGGGAAGUACGGUCGCAAGACUAAAACUCAAAGGAAUAGACGGGGACCCGCACAAGCGGUGGAUCAUGUGGUUUAAUUCGACGACAAACGGGGAACCUUACCUGGGCUCAACUACUAGCUGCAAGCCGAAUGAAAGUUUGGCCGCCUUCGAGGGUGCUAGAUAGGUGCUGCAUGGUUGCCGU